AUUGAACGCUGGCGGCAGGCCUAACACAUGCAAGUCGAAUGGUAACAGGAAACAGCUUGCUGUUUCGCUGACGAGUGGCGGACGGGUGAGUAAUGUCUGGGAAACUGCCUGAUGGAGGGGGAUAACUACUGGAAACGGUAGCUAAUACCGCAUAACGUCGCAAGACCAAAGAGGGGGACCUUCGGGCCUCUUGCCAUCAGAUGUGCCCAGAUGGGAUUAGCUAGUAGGUGGGGUAACGGCUCACCUAGGCGACGAUCCCUAACUGGUCUGAGAGGAUGACCAGCCACACUGGAACUGAGACACGGUCCAGACUCCUACGGGAGGCAGCAGUGGGGAAUAUUGCACAAUGGGCGCAGGCCUGAUGCAGCCAUGCCGCGUGUAUGAAGAAGGCCUUCGGGUUGUAAAGUACUUUCAGCGGGGAGGAAGGGAGUAAAGUUAAUACCUUUGCUCAUUGACGUUACCCGCAGAAGAAGCACCGGCUAACUCCGUG
rnacentral:rRNA from 1 species